rnacentral:rRNA from 1 species
UCUAAUACCGGAUAAUACGCUGUUCCGCAUGGAACGGGGUUGAAAGCUCCGGCGGUGAAGGAUGAGCCCGCGGCCUAUCAGCUUGUUGGUGGGGUAAUGGCCUACCAAGGCGACGACGGG